rnacentral:rRNA from 1 species
ACUCCGAAACUGCAUUCGAUACUGCCGUGCUUGAGGACUGGAGAGGAGACUGGAAUUUACGGUGUAGCGGUGAAAUGCGUAGAUAUCGUAAGGAAGACCAGUGGCGAAGGCGGGUCUCUGGACAGUUCCUGACGCUGAGGCACGAGGGUCAGGGGAGCAAACGGGAUUAGAUACCCCGGUAGUCCUGACAGUAAACGGUGCACGUUUGGUGUGGGAGGAUUCGACCCCUUCUGCGCCGGAGCUAACGCGUUAAACGUGCCGCCUGGGGAGUACGGUCGCAAGAUUAAAACUCAAAGAAAUUGACGGGGGCCCGCACAAGCGGUGGAGUAUGUGGCUCAAUUCGAUGCAACGCGAAGAACCUUACCAGGCCUUGACAUGCAUCUCUAAGUUGGUGAAAGCCAGCGAGUCCCGAAAG